CAGUGCAGCAGCGUUUGCUACGCCGCGCGCUGCAGCCGGGAGACGACAGCGGCAUCGACAGCGACGACUCGGCCGGACAGCGGCGCCGCGCGCAGCGGGACUUGGUCAUGAGAGAACAAUCUGAUACCAGCAGUGAUGAAGAGAUGGUUAUGGAUUCACCGAUGCAUAAGUGGGCGAAGAGACGAUAUGAUGACCGUAUGCUUGACGAGUCCGGAAGUAGCGAUGAAGAUCUGGUCUUAAGGUCGCCGAAGGCUAAGUGGGCGAAAUGCUUAUACUACGAACAUUUGG